rnacentral:rRNA from 1 species
CCUCUCUAUUCGUCGGCAGCGUCAGAUGUGUAUAAGAGACAGCUAUAACGGUCCUAAGGUAGCGAAAUUCCUUGUCGGGUAAGUUCCGACCCGCACGAAUGGCGUAAUGACUUGGGCACUGUCUCAACAGCAAAUCCGGUGAAAUUGUAGUGAGAGUGAAGAUGCUCUCUACCCGCGAUUGGACGGAAAGACCCCGUAGAGCUUUACUGUAGUUUAGCAUUGAGUCUCGGUAUUGUCUGUACAGGAUAGGUGGGAGACUGAGAAGGAUGGGCGUCAGCUUGUCUGGAGUCAACCUUGGGAUACCACCCUGACAGUACUGGGGUUCUAACUGGUGGCCAUGAAACUGGUCACAGGACAUUGUUAGAUGGGCAGUUUGACUGGGGCGGUCGCCUCCUAAAAAGUAACGGAGGCGCCCAAAAGUUCCCUCAGCGCGGUUGGAAAUCGCGCGCAGAGUGCAAAGGCAUAAGGGAGCUUGACUGCGACACCUACAAGUGGAGCAGGGACGAAAGUCGGGCUUAGUGAUCCGGUGGUACCUCGUGGGAGGGCCAUCGCUCAACGGAUAAAAGCUACCUCGGGGAUAACAGGCUGAUCUCCCCCAAGAGUCCACAUCGACGGGGAGGUUUGGCACCUCGAUGUCGGCUCGUCGCAUCCUGGGGCUGGAGUAGGUCCCAAGGGUUUGGCUGUUCGCCAAUUAAAGCGGCACGCGAGCUGGGUUCAGACCGUCGUAAGACAGGUCGGUCUCCUAUCCACUGUGUUCGUGGAAACUUGAAGAGGCCCUUCCUUAGUACGAGAGGACCGGGAAGGACGAAGCUCUAGUGUACCUGCUGUUCUACCAAGGGCAUUGCAGGGUAGCUACCUUCGGUUAAGAUAAGCGCUGAAAGCAUAUAAGCGCGAAGCUGUCUCUAAGAUUAGGUUUCAUAGACUGGUCCGAGAACAGGACCUUGAUAGGCCAUACGUGUAAGUCCAGUAAUGGAUUGAGCGAAGUGGUACUAAUAAGUCGUUUGAUUCUCCCA